GACGAACGCUGGCGGCGUGCCUAAUACAUGCAAGUAGAACGCUGAAGGAGGAGCUUGCUUCUAUGGAUGAGUUGCGAACGGGUGAGUAACGCGUAGGUAACCUGCCUGGUAGCGGGGGAUAACUAUUGGAAACGAUAGCUAAUACCGCAUAAGAGUAGAUGUUGCAUGACAUUUGCUUAAAAGGUGCAAUUGCCUCACUAACAGAUGGACCUGCGUUGUAUUAGAUAGUUGGUGAGGCAACGGCUCACCAAGGCAACAAUACAUAGCCGACCUGAGAGGGGGAGCGACCAAACUGGGAAUGAGACACGGCCCAGACUCCUACGGGAGGCAGCAGGAGGGAAUCUUCGGCAAUGGACGGAAGUCUGACCGAGCAACGCCGCGUGAGUGAAGAAGGUUUUCGGAUCGUAAAGCUCGGUUGUAAGAGAAGAACGAGUGUGAGAGUGGAAGGUUCACACUGUGACGGUAUCUUACCAGAAAGGGACGGCUAACUACGUG
rnacentral:rRNA from 1 species